GGAUGUGAGGGCAAUCCGGCUGCUCCGUCCGUCACCCCAUUGAUUGCCAGGGUUGAUUCGGCUGACCUGGCUGGCGAGGCGGGAGGCCCCUUCCUCCCUCUCCUCCCCAUGUGCAUCCCUCCCGGUGGCAAAAAGAAAAAGAAUUAAAAAACAGUCUCUAUGUUGGAAUGUGUCAGCAGCUUACUGUCUGUAUUUAAGUUGAAGGUUAGCACAUUGUGGUCACUGUUCCCUAUUGGAUCAGUUACAG
rnacentral:sRNA from 1 species